ensembl:lncRNA
CCGGUCCUGGCCGGGGGUUCCCGUCCCGGCUUCGCGCCGUUGGGCUCCUCGGAGCUCGGGGCCGGGUCAGAGCUUGGUCUCCACGCCGAGGCCGCCGGCAGGAGGGGAGCGGUGCUGAGAGGCCGAGGUGGAAGUGUGACUUAGAAUGGUGGCGGCCCCGCCACUUGGAUGGCGUGGAAGUCGCUCACCGCUCGCAGUACUGCCACGAGCGCUGUGGCCGGGAUGUGGGGAAGGGCCGUGAUGGUUCUCAGAGAUAGCGAGGCCUGCGGUUCUCCUUACGGCGGGAUCGAAGGAGGAGAAGGGCUGACAAGGUCAAGCAGGGGCUGUGCAGGUGGACUACAGGGCAGCGUCAACGCAAGAUUGUUUUAGGAUAUUAAUGCUUCCAGAAGCCUAAAUAGAUCUAAGCCAUCACCUAUUCCAAAUAAACCUGAAGUCACAUCAAAGACUGACAAGAACAAAACAAGUUUGUGCAGCAAGAUCAGUCUCCUCCAAAUCAGGCUGAUUGGCGUUAGCUGGAGAAUCUCAUAUCAGCUCUUCUCUUGCUUUGCCUAGAAAUUUUCAGGUCUUCUGUUUGCUCUUUACAAAUACCAGCACAGCACCGCUCUUCUCCCGUCUUCUGGGACAUCUGUGAAAUUCCAGAACUUAUUAACAAGUUGUUUUUUGAGCAACAGGACUGAGGAACCUGGCGUCCCUACGGAUUUGUUGCCUGUGUGUUCUAUACUUGCCAUGCCAUCAGCCAAGGUACCUUGAUGACACCCUUUCUGCAAUGCACCACAGCCCCUCGCCUGUAGCCGAUGCCUUGGGCUCCUCCUCCACCACUCUCCAGCACACACAGCUUCCUCAGUAUUUUCUGCUUAAUUUAUUUCAGCCUGCUGGCCAGACUGCUCUGACCAGCAGGGUUUUGCCCAGCAGCAUGGCCAUGGGGUCUCCUCCAGCACAUUCACCAGCAGCAUCUCUGUCUGGCUGCUGGUUCUCUCUCGUACAAGUUGUUGGAGCUUAUUUACCUUUCAGACUCUGCUUCAUUUGUCAAGCCCAGCUGAACGCGGCCCGUGGCAACUGAGAGAUGAGCAGAUGGACUGACGGACAGCAGAGCAACCGCAGGAGCCUCACUGCCCUCAGGACACAAAGCUAAAUCAGAGCAUUAGAGGUCCACUUGGCCUCAGGACUGGUGUAAAUAACCUCUACGUGAUGACUGUGCCAGGCAGAAAUAACAGUCUUGCAUCCUUCUGGGUGUGAUGGUGCAGAAGGUACGUUAUCGAUCGUGGUCCAAAUCUUGGCCAAAUACACAACAGAGGGAGUUGUCACAUUUCCAUCUUCGUUUUGUCAUCACAUCACCUUCACUCGCACACCCUCAGAAUAACACUUCUUGCUUAAUAUAUCUCUCAUCUUCCCUUUUCCACAGCCAUCCACCUGCACCAGCAACGGGGACUCAAAUGUCCCCGUUGUUUCCUGCUACCUUUCCUUUCAGCCCAUCCCAAGUGCCUCCUUUUGCCACUCUGCUUCUCCAGAGCCAUGCUCCCAAAGAAGCGUGCCUUUCCCUUUAUGUCAGACCCUGGAAGCUGCCUUGAUGCCUCCGACUUUCAUCUCCCACCCAGGGCUGCUCGGCGGCCGCCUCCUGAUUUGGCCUGUGCCUGCUGAUGGUGCUGAUGGUGGAGGGCGAAUCUCCCUGCAAAACGCGCGGCCCCUCCGAGGCACAUAAUCUUUUUGCUCUCAUUUCACCGCCACAUCCCUG